rnacentral:rRNA from 1 species
GAUGAACGCUGGCGGCGUGCCUAAUACAUGCAAGUCGAGCGAACAGACGAGGAGCUUGCUCCUCUGACGUUAGCGGAGGACGGGUGAGUAACACGUGGAUAACCCACCUAUAAGACUGGGAUAACUUCGGGAAACCGGAGAUAAUACCGGAUAAUAUAUUGAACCGCAUGGUUCAAUAGUGAAAGACGGUUUUGCGGUCACUUAUAGAUGGAUCCGCGCCGCAUUAGCUAGUUGGUAAGGUAACGGCUUACCAAGGCAACGAGGCGUAGCCGACCGGAGAGGGGGAUAGGCCGCCCGAGAGGGGGGACGCGGUCCAGGCGCCUGCGGGAGGCAGCAGUAGGGAAUGGGCCGCAGUGGGCGAGAGUCUGACGGAGCAGCGCGGCGUGAGUGAUGAAGGUCUUCGGAUCGGAAAACUGUGUUAUGGGUGAAGAACAAAUGUGGAAGUAGCUAUGCACGGCGUGACGGUACCUGGUCAGAAAGCCACGGCUAACUACGUG